GAUGAACGCUGGCGGCGUGCCUAAUACAUGCAAGUCGAGCGAACAGACGAGGAGCUUGCUCCUCUGACGUUAGCGGCGGACGGGUGAGUAACACGUGGAUAACCUACCUAUAAGACUGGGAUAACUUCGGGAAACCGGAGCUAAUACCGGAUAAUAUAUUGAACCGCAUGGUUCAAUAGUGAAAGACGGUUUUGCUGUCACUUAUAGAUGGAUCCGCGCCGCAUUAGCUAGUUGGUAAGGUAACGGCUUACCAAGGCAACGAUGCGUAGCCGACCUGAGAGGGGGAUCGGCCACACUGGAACUGAGACACGGUCCAGACUCCUACGGGAGGCAGCAGUAGGGAAUCUUCCGCAAUGGGCGAAAGCCUGACGGAGCAACGCCGCGUGAGUGAUGAAGGUCUUCGGAGCGUAAAACUCUGUUAUUAGGGAAGAACAAAUGUGUAAGUAACUAUGCACGUCUUGACGGUACCUAAUCAGAAAGCAACGGCUAACUACGUG
rnacentral:rRNA from 1 species